rnacentral:rRNA from 1 species
GCGGUCUGCCUAACACAUGCAAGUCGAACGCACUCUUCGGAGUGAGUGGCGGACGGGUGAGUAACGCGUGAGAACCUGCCUACAGGAUGGGGACAACGGUUGGAAACGACCGCUAAUUCCCAAUAAGCCGAGAGGUAAAAAGAGAUUCGCCUGUAGAGGGGCUCGCGUCUGAUUAGCUAGUUGGUGGGGUAAGAGCUUACCAAGGCAGCGAUCAGUAGCUGGUCUGAGAGGAUGAGCAGCCACACUGGGACUGAGACACGGCCCAGACUCCUACGGGAGGCAGCAGUGGGGAAUUUUCCGCAAUGGGCGCAAGCCUGACGGAGCAAGACCGCGUGAGGGAGGAAGGCCUUUGGGUUGUAAACCUCUUUUCUCAGGGAAGAAGACAGUGACGGUACCUGAGGAAUCAGCCUCGGCUAACUCCGUGCCAGCAGCCGCGGUAAUACGGAGGAGGCAAGCGUUAUCCGGAAUUAUUGGGCGUAAAGCGUCCGCAGGUGGUUAUUCAAGUCCGCUGUCAAAGACCGGGGCUUAACCCUGGAGAGGCAGUAGAAACUGAAUAACUAGAGGUCGGUAGGGGUAGAGGGAAUUCCCAGUGUAGCGGUGAAAUGCGUAGAGAUUGGGA